rnacentral:rRNA from 1 species
CUUCCAGGAAAAGCCUCUAAGCUUCAGAUUGUAAGGAAUCGUACCCCAAACCGACACAGGUGGUCGGGUAGAGAAUACCAAGGCGCUUGAGAGAACUCGGGUGAAGGAACUAGGCAAAAUGGUACCGUAACUUCGGGAGAAGGUACGCUCUCGACGGUGAAGUCCCUCGCGGAUGGAGCUAUUGAGAGUCGCAGAUACCAGGUGGCUGCAACUGUUUAUUAAAAACACAGCACUGUGCAAAAUCGUAAGAUGACGUAUACGGUGUGACGCCUGCCCGGUGCCGGAAGGUUAAUUGAUGGGGUUAGACUUCGGUCGAAGCUCUUGAUCGAAGCCCCGGUAAACGGCGGCCGUAACUAUAACGGUCCUAAGGUAGCGAAAUUCCUUGUCGGGUAAGUUCCGACCUGCACGAAUGGCGUAAUGAUGGCCACGCUGUCUCCACCCGAGACUCAGUGAAAUUGAAAUCGCUGUGAAGAUGCAGUGUACCCGCGGCUAGACGGAAAGACCCCGUGAACCUUUACUACAGCUUGGCACUGAACAUUGACCCUACAUGUGUAGGAUAGGUGGGAGGCUUUGAAGCACGUACGCCAGUAUGUGUGGAGCCGUCCUUGAAAUACCACCCUUGUAGUGUUGAUGUUCUAACGUCGACCCCUAAUCGGGGUUGCGGACAGUGCCUGGUGGGUAGUUUGACUGGGGCGGUCUCCUCCCAAAGAGUAACGGAGGAGCACGAAGGUGGGCUAAUCACGGUUGGACAUCGUGAGGUUAGUGCAAUGGCAUAAGCCCGCUUGACUGCGAGAAUGACAAUUCGAGCAGGUGCGAAAGCAGGUCAUAGUGAUCCGGUGGUUCUGAAUGGAAGGGCCAUCGCUCAACGGAUAAAAGGUACUCCGGGGAUAACAGGCUGAUACCGCCCAAGAGUUCAUAUCGACGGCGGUGUUUGGCACCUCGAUGUCGGCUCAUCACAUCCUGGGGCUGAAGUCGGUCCCAAGGGUAUGGCUGUUCGCCAUUUAAAGUGGUACGCGAGCUGGGUUUAGAACGUCGUGAGACAGUUCGGUCCCUAUCUGCCGUGGGCGUUGGAAGAUUGAAGGGGGCUGCUCCUAGUACGAGAGGACCGGAGUGGACGAACCUCUGGUGUUCGGGUUGUGUCGCCAGACGCAUUGCCCGGUAGCUAAGUUCGGAAUCGAUAACCGCUGAAAGCAUCUAAGCGGGAAGCGAGCCCUGAGAUGAGUCUUCCCUGAUACUUUAAGUAUCCUAAAGGGUUGUCGGAGACUACGACGUUGAUAGGUCAGGUGUGUAAGUGCUGUGAGGCAUUGAGCUAACUGAUACUAAUUGCCCGUGAGGCUUAACCAU